rnacentral:rRNA from 1 species
GCGCAGCAGGCGAGAAUCCUCCGCAAUACACGAAAGUGUGAUGGGGCCAUCCCGAGUGCCGUCCGCUGAGGACGGCUUUUCCCCAGUGUACAUAGCUGGGGGGAAUAAGGAGAGGGCAAGCCUGGUGUCAGCCGCCGGCGGUAAUACCAGCUCUCCGAGUGGUGGGGACGCUUAUUGGGGCCUAAAGGCAUCCGUAGCCGGCUGGGCAAGUCCUCCGUUAAAUCCAACGAUUCAAUCGUUGGGCUGCGGGGGA